rnacentral:lncRNA from 1 species
AUUUAGGGGCGGGGUCGAUUUUGACAGCUAGUAAAAGAAAAGUGUCGUCUGCUGUUGUUUUGUUUCAUAAACGAACCUAGACAUCUUCAAGUUUACCUAACACCAACAAGUUUAAGAAGCAAAACGAAUACGGAAUGACUCGAAAUUCCACUGAAGGUUUUCCUGAACUCACUUUGCAAAGUGCAACUAGAACAUUUUCCUAGCACCACAGCACUGGCACCUCAUGCAUCUCGGCUUUCCGAAAAGUCUUGAUUCAUGACUCUGCAAAAAGGACCGACACAUCCCGCUACAACAUCAAACAGACGGACAAACACACACACACGGUGCAACUCUAUGGCAUUCGAAGCUCGGCCGGGAAAAGGAAAAUAAAAAUUAAAGAAGCCACAAACAAAUCUACCGCUCGCUGGAGGAAUAAAAAAGAAGAAAAAAACCUUUUGCAGUUCUAAGGUUUCUAUCUGAUAUAUUCGUCUAUAGCUCUUUGAUCUAUUCAAAUGAGUUUCUAUUGAUGUUGUUCACCGCGUGCUGAUCCUUAUUCCGGCGUGAAAAGAAAAAGAAAGGCCACACAGCAAAGAGAGAACACAUAACGAACGGAAUGAAAAGGAAAUGGCGAAAAGACAUCCCUUGGCAAUCACCUUCUCGCAUCUACCGCCAUCGCUUGCCCAAAUCGGGGUAGACCGAAACAACCGACAAGCUUCGAGAUAUGGCUUAUAUUCACCGUCAACGUAAUAUAACCAGAUUUUUUUUUUCUGGCUAUACUCAUGUACGUUUACAGCUAUAGGCAACUCGAUGGUUUACGUUACGACGGUUGCAGUUUCAAGGGCAGCGCGUCCAGUUUUUAUAUAUUUCCCUUUCAAAUCUUGUCCAAAAAACAUUUGUGACUUGCAUUUUCAGUUUCCCCCCUACAGCAGAACUUCUGGUCUUGCACAAAGAAAAUAAUAUCCACGACUAUGCAACGCAACCACACAUGUUUUUGUGUACACAUCAUAAUCUUAAGGGAGAGAGUAGCUUAACUUUUGGCUGGUUCGACAAUAACGAAUCUUGUUUAUCCUAUAUGAACUGAUGGCGGCUGGACGCAUUCUCUCCCGGACCUCUCUCUCUCCCUACUGUGUAUAAACUCUCGUUGCUGUGUUAUGAUACGGAGGGAGGAUCGGCUCUCUCCCCCCUCCAAAAUCCUCGACAGAAUGUGUAACAUUUUGAUGAAAGAAACACGAGAGUCGGUUGGCAACUUGUAAGGCUACACGGCCCCUCUCUGCCUGUACAGUUGUCCGAUAGCUUACACACGUAAACAGAGCGGAGAACUAUACACAAGAAGAAGAAGAAGAAGACAGAUGGUGGCAGAUGCACAUCUCGGCUGUGUGGAAUAAACCGUGUGGAACUCAACGCCCGAAUGAAUGAACUUUAGUCUCUAUCACACACACCAUGAAUAAUGAGGCUUUUUAUUUUAGAAGAUAUGGCGUUAUGAUACAGCGCGAUCAUUGAUGAUGAUAAUUCAAGACACGGCAUCAUCAUCAUCAUCGAAUAUCUAUCUAAUGGCGUGAAGAGGAGAGUCUCUUUUUUUGGGUUGUUGUUGUUUUUAAUAUGACCACCAGUCAUAGUCACUGCUGUGUAUGGUGGGGGGGAGAGAUAGUUCCGUGUCCGGGCCCAUUUCUUUAUUGUGUAUGACCUACCGAUUCUUUUUGGAAUAGAUUGAUGGAUCUCUU